rnacentral:lncRNA from 1 species
CCGUUGGAGUCGAGGACGAAGCCCGGCUCCCGUAGGAGUCCGGGCGGAGUCUUCCUGCAAUCAAAGUUAAAGGUGAAAUCCGACUCCCGUAGGAGUCCGGACGGGGCUUACCAGCAGUUGACGCGGAGGACGAAGCCCGGCUCCCGUAGGAGUCCGGGCAGAGUCUACUUGAGGUCGAAGUUGUCGGCAGAGUCCGGCUCCCGUAGG